CCAGGGCCCGCGCCCGCGCGCGGGUCAGCAGGCUCUGGUAGCGAAAGGGCGACGUGAUGGCGGGAGGUAGCGGUCCAGGGCGAUAACACACAGGGUCUCGAUGCUGGCCGUCACGCACAGCACGUCCACGGAGGUCCAGAGCUCGCAGAAGAAGGAGCCAUACUCCCAGCGGCCCCACACCACGAUGGUGGCCCCGAACGGCACCACCAGCAGCCCCAUGACCAGGACAGAGAGCAAGCACGAUGACCUCUCAAAACUCAUACUAAAGAUGGCUCUGCAAAUAAAUGGUACCCAGACCCCAGUGAGAACAGUCAAGUUUGUCGCAGAGUUGCAGUCUGUCACAAAGUCGUGAGUGCCACAGGUUGAUUGUGAUCUAGUUCCCAAGUUUUCUGAAAAGAGGGCUACAAAGAGACCAUUUAGGAGCUUUUCUUUUCCAAAUCCAGCAGCUUCGUGCCACGCGAAUGGAUGAGUAACAGCAGCAGUUCUAAUGAUAGAUCGGCUCUUAUCUAUCUUUUGCUUUUCCACCCGUGAAAGAUUCUCGAAGUACUUUACAAGGGCCAGAUCCCGCGGGGGACGGCGUGCCGCUCUCAUUCCCUGCCUCGCAGAACAGUAACUGCAAAGGAAUGUUUAUCCCGGCACAGACUUCACUCCGAGGGUCGCAGUCCUCAGGGCUGUGGGUGAUUUCAGUCUACCUGCCUCUUGCCUUAGCUUGUGGGAGCAGUAUCAUUACGAGGCGACGGACUCUCUCCUUACAAAUUUUCGGUUCCUCUGGGCCGUCAAUAAAAGGCAGCU
rnacentral:lncRNA from 1 species